GAUAGGAGACGUGGAAGACGCCGUCUGCCUCCACGCCUUUUACUGUGCCAUAUGGAGGCGCUGCGGUGCCCUCCCUGCGCGGUAUAACUGGUGGCUGCAGGCCCCUGAUGUUCUCUUCUACCCGCUGAGGCCGGAGUUGGUGGAGUCCACGUACCUCCUCUACCCGGUACUAGAGUGCGCUGAGCAGUGCUCUGUGUGGAAACGCUGGGAAGACUGGAGCCUCCGCUUCUUCAUCAACACCUGCUGACUGAGAUGGAGAAAGGGGAAAUCAUGUGAACCAGUAAUGAUCCUUAUGCCUAAAGACUGACCUCAUGAAUUUUAGCGAAUCUCUCAGAAAAGAAAGCCUGUAACUGGAUAAUUUAUAAAGAAAAGGAACUUAUUUCAUACAGUUACGGAGUCUGAGAAGUUCAAGAGAUUCUUUGGCUAAAAUGUUCGAGGUGGAUCAAAAGGAGCAAUCCUACAUGGCAUAGACUAAAUCAAGCAAAUAGAAAGCUUCUCCUUCACAGACUCAAUAUUAUGGUUUCCCGCCUGUGCUGAUUGUUCGUUCUUGGUAUUUCAAUACAGAGUACAGAGUUCCCUUAAUGUAUUGCUGACAAAACGUGAGUAUAAAGCUACAGCUCCUCAGAUACGAUAAGGAGAGAUGGAUGGAACUCCUUCGUGUUCAGUUUACCUUCUGGAUAAUGGUUUAUCUGCUAGCAUUACAUGUUCCCUUUUAUAAAGCACCAUCAAAAUCAGCUAAUAGUUUUAAGAAUGCAAAUUUUGCCUUUCAAGUGUGAUCAAGAACUCAUUGAGAGUUCACAUGUCUUCAAGUCUCCAUGUGGCCUAGAACAGUAUUGGGUAUAAAGAAUUUGUACCUUUUGAAUGAGUUAGCCAGAUGAAUCUUAUUUUCUACAAGUAUUUGAAGUGGCUGUGAGUAGUAUAGGCAUUCCAUAAAUAAGCCUAAUUUAAACUUGUCUCUGCUCUUCAGUAACAGGGUAUUAACUAGAUUCAUUCCUGUUGCUUAAAAAUUUUGGCUAAGGCUUCAAAAGUGAGAUCAGUGGAUCUUUGGAAUCAAUGGAUCCAUAUCUCUUUGAGAUAUUAAUAAAGAUAGGAAAACCAGUCUAAUGACUGCUACCCCCAUCUGGGCUGGAAAAAAAGGAGGCUAGAGGUUGAUAGGAGGGAUUCUUUGAAACAAAUUCCUGUGAUGAAAGGAGGGAGAUACUUGCUACUCUUUCCUUCCCUUAGUAUUUGCAGCGCCUGUGAAAAGGGCACCACAUUUAUUGACCAAAGCUUUCCAUGAUGUCAGGAAGGGAAGGGAGGCCUCAGCAGGUGUAUUUCCAUGGUUUUCAGGGGGAAAAAAGAAUGAAUUCUUGAGUAUCAGAUGAAUCCCAACAUGCUGACAGAAUAUUAAUGAAGAGCUUCCUAUCAAGGCAAGGGGACCCCUGAGGAUAGAAACCACUAAAGGGGGUUCUCUGGAAGGUUGGCUGGAGAACCUAUCACUUGAAUCAGUAUCUAAAUAACUACUUACGCACCCUACAGAAGCUCCAGAAUUUGAUGACUCCUGUAACAGAAACUAUUAGACAAUUUAAAAAGAACUAUAAACACAGUCAGUAAGGGACAUUUACCUGUUUUUCUUUUCAUUCUUUCACUUUUUGCCUCCUCCUUUCCCUCUUCAAAUAUCACAUUAAAUCAACAUUCAAAGAUCCGGAGCAAAAGAAAAGAGUGUCAGGGAAAAAGGAACAUGACUUGCUGUUCAUCCUGCUUUGUUGCCAUAGGAUGCACAGAAAUAAAACUCAUUCUGACUUUAAAUAUAAGUUAAAAAUGGAGUUUUCACUAUUUAUAAUGACCCAAACGCCCACCACCCCCAAGUGUGUACAUAAAUUGCAGUAUCACCACCCAGUGAAAUGGGAAUGAACUAUUAGAAUAACACGUGACCAUGUGACUGAUUCUCACAUAGGUAACACUGAGGGAAAGAUGUCAGAGGGAGAGUGCCUGCCUCGUGAUUCAGUUUAUGUAAAGUAUAAAAACAGACAAAACUAAACUAGUGGAGGUCCAGAGUGGGUAGCCUGGGUGGACAGCGGUGGUUUUCUGGGGUAUGAAAGUGCUUCUGGGAUGCUGGAAAGUUCUGU